GCUGGGGUGGUGAAAUUGGUAGACACGCCAGCCUUAGGAGCUGGUGCCGCAAGGCAUGGAGGUUCAAGUCCUCUCCCCAGCA
rnacentral:tRNA from 1 species